rnacentral:rRNA from 1 species
CCUACGGGCGGCAGCAGUGGGGAAUAUUGGGCAAUGGGCGCAAGCCUGACCCAGCAACGCCGCGUGAAGGAAGAAGGCUUUCGGGUUGUAAACUUCUUUUGUCAGGGAAGAGUAGAAGACGGUACCUGACGAAUAAGCCACGGCUAACUACGUGCCAGCAGCCGCGGUAAUACGUAGGUGGCAAGCGUUGUCCGGAUUUACUGGGUGUAAAGGGCGUGUAGCCGGGUUGACAAGUCAGAUGUGAAAUCCUGCGGCUUAACCGCAGAACUGCAUUUGAAACUGUUGAUCUUGAGUACUGGAGAGGCAGACGGAAUUCCUAGUGUAGCGGUGAAAUGCGUAGAUAUUCGGAGGAACACCGGUGGCGAAGGCGGCCAACUGGGCUUUAACUGACGCUGAGGCUCGAAAGUGUGGGGAGCAAACAGGAUUAGAUACCCCGGUAGUC